rnacentral:ncRNA from 1 species
UUUCACAGUGAGAUAUGGAUGCUAUAUUCGUAAAGCGAAUGAUUAGAGGGAUUGUGGGACGAAACGUCUUCAACUAUCCUCAAACUUUCAAUGAGUAUGGCUUGAAUGAAGCGUAGACAUUGAAUGUGUGUUCCGGGUGGGCCAUUUUUGGUAAGCAGAACUGGCGCUGUAAGAUGAACCA